ACCAAAGGGCUUGGCGGGGGCGGGGCCAGCCCAACCAUGGGCGUGGCGGUUGGGGAGUGGGCGGAGUCGACCUGCAGCGGUAGGUGGGAGUUGUCUUGGCGGUUGGAAAGGGUUGCAAAGUGUGGUCUGGUACCUGGCGACGGUGGCAUUCAUAUCAGUUCCGUAGAAAGCACGGAAUGGUGGCUGCCCCUUGCCCGUAAAGAGAGCGGUUCCCUGUACCCUUUUUAUUCCCUGGCGUCAGAGGGCAUGGCCAGACCAAGAGAUGGAAACUACAGGGAGGCCAGCUGAGACUUGAUUGAAGAAGGGGAAUCUUCUGAUAAAGGAAGACUGCCUAGGGCAUCAAACACACUUUUCAACUGAGAAGGCAUCAGCACACCAGAGAAAUGCAUGCAGUCUGAACAGGCACAAAGUUCUUGUUGAUGGUCAAGUCCUCUGAUGUGAAGGCCUGGGUUUAAUGCUGGCCUUAACAUCAGUCUCCUGUAUUUCAUCACCAUACCGUCCCCUUGGUCACAGCAGAACCUUCAUGUCUACUGAGGAGCUUUCUGAGGUGUGCCAAAGUGUGAGGAGCUGCCUCUUUCACAAAUUGGAUUCCAUCCCUCGCAGACCAUGGUGACAGAAAUCCUUCGAGUAACACUGAGAUCAGGUCCAGGGGUCGACCUGGGACUUCAGUUCUGUGGUGUGUGGUUUUUUCUGACUUCAGAUAAUUGUCCUUGGUAGACCCCAAUGACAGUUGGUUCAGAACUGGUGAUAAGUUCAAUGGAGCUGACACAGGCUGACAAAAAUUCCUAUAGUAGAGAGUUUGUGGAAUUUCCCCAGAUGGGGCUUGGAGAGUUUGUCACAUUAGUGGGUUUUUAAGAAUGCCUUUGCUCUUCAUGCAUGCAACUGUGUCUUCUUCUUCUUCUUCUUUUUAAAAUAGAUUUUAUUUGAGAGACUGAGUGUGAGAGAGCACAGAAGUGGGGCAGAGGGAGACGGAGAGGGAGAAGCAGACUCUGCUGAGCAGGGAGCCUGAUGUGGAGAUCAAUCCCAGGACCCUGGGGUCAUGACCUGAGCCGAAGGUAGACGGCUUAAGCGACUGAGCCACCCAGGUGUCCCCCCUCAUUUCCUCUUAUGACAAAACUUCUACAUGUGGUUCAUGUUGCUCCAUUGUGGGGUGCUGAGGGGAGAGCGGGAUGGCUUUAAGUGUAGGCUUCUAGCAUGUCAUUUGGCACUUCUGUGUCCUGAUAUGUCUUCUUUUGCUGAUUUAUUUUGAUCAGUUUAUCUUAAGCAAAUGUUCCUCACCAAAGGAGAUGGAUAGAGUAUUUUCCCCCGCAAGAGGAGGCAGCAGCCACAUCUCCUCCGGGGAGGAAUCCGUGAUUGGCCUAGUUUGGAGGGCACCAUCUGGCACACUCCCCCAGGGGCUGGCCGGCAAGUGCAGGAAUCUGCAGGGCUCUCUUCUGAUCCAGGUGAGCACUGGAGUUUCUGUUUGUUUCCAGAGUCACAGGCAGCAGAUAUCCCUGCAGUGGCUGUCUGAGCGAUAUGAUCCUUUGCCACAUGGAGGGCCAGGGGCUCUGUCUAGCAACUUAGCACGAGCUGAGAUCCAGAACACAAAAUGGGAACACUUUCUAAAAUCCCCCUUUCCCUAAUUUUAGACCUUUUAAAAAGUAUGCUGCUUUUUGUUAAGGAAACAUUUUUAGGAAACUUAUCCUUCUUGGGGGCUGACGUCUGCGCAGGUGCUCAAAACUAUCCUGUUCUCUUGACCCUGGUGGUUGGGAGUUUUCUUCAUGGUCUGCAUCAAACACCCAGUCACUCUGGAAGGAACCUGUACUUCUGUUGCAGUUUUUGUAAUAGCAACAUCAUUUCCCGAUUGCCGUCAGACAUCUGUCCAGGGAUGUUACCCAACUGGGAAAAUAUCUCAAGAAUUGUACCGUAGCAAUAAGCAAAAGCUGCUAUUUGUCAAAGACAAUAUAAACUUCAUCUCUUCCAGAACCUACAGUAGCUGCAGGACAGAUCAGAUGUGAUUCUGUAUAAUGCUUCAAGUUUCAUUCCCACUUUAAAUUAUUUAAGGCUGGCUUGGGUAAUUCCUUCUUAAAGAAUGUCAAAGUUGUGAUUUCAAAUCCAUUUGAAAUUCAUAAAAGGAACAUGGGCUGAGAGGACACAUUCAUCUGGAGCUCCAGAGAAGGUUAAGUGAAGCCCUCUUUUUUUCCUACAUAUGCCCCAAUCGGUUGUGGGUCCAAGGAACCUACAAGCCUCCUCAGGUCCUUUCCAUUGUCACAACAAUGCUCACUAUAAGCUGGCACCUGUAAUUCCAGCAACUGUAGCAGUACACACUGGAGAAACAGUGUGAAGUAACAUGCCUCCCUUUCAAACCAGCUUUGAAGUUGUUAGCCUGAGGAAUCUUGGACUCUCUCAAAUACUGAGAAGGAGGAAAGAUCCAGCCUCUUUCCAGAAACUGUUCCAUUGGAAAUUAUCAUUUUUCACAGGAGAUAUUCUUGGUUGUCCUUCUUGACAGCAGAAUGAUCUGAAUGCUUUCCCUAUGGUAAGCCUUUCUAGUGUUUUCUCAGGCAAUGGCAGUGGGCAGAGCAUGGUUUUUUCCCAUGGUCCAGCUGGCAUGGAAAUUCAGUACACCGCCACCAUGUUUCAGAGCCCAAGCACAGAGCCUGGACCUGGCUUUCUUUUUACAGCUUUAUUGAGGCAUAACUGACAUAUAAUAAACUUCACAUAUUUAAAGUAUACAGUUUAAUGCAUUUUAGCAUAUGUAUACAUCCCCGCAACCACUGCAUGAUGAGAUAAUGAACAUAUCACCCUCACAACUUUCCUCAAGCCCGUUAGCCAUCCCUCCCUUUUACCCUCCUUUAAAUAUUUAACAUAAUGUUUCAGAGUUGAAGACAAAAAGUGGGAAAGCUACUCUACCCAUUUAGUGAGUCUGGGUAUAAUCCCAGCUCUAAAACAAAGUAAGAAAAUGAUGACAAUUUUAGACCAACAUUACUUCUGGACCUAGAUGUGAAAGUCCUUGAUGAAAUACUGGUUAACAGAAUUAAUCAGUUAAGGAAAAAAUUACAAUUGCACAAUUACAGUUGCUUUUCAUCGAAUUCCCUUUUUAUUCUCCAAUGUAUUUUUUCACUAAAUCUUUGUUCAUUUUUUUCCCUACUUUUCCCUCCCAAUUUCCUCACAGUUAUAGCUUUAGCUGAUAUUCUCAUUUUAUCCUGACAUUAUAAAACAAGCUGGCUGUUUUCUCAUAAGUUCCUACAGAGGAAAUGUGUCCUAGAUGAGGAAAAGAUUCUAGAAGGUGGCAAUCACCCACAUUUCAAAAUGAAAGGAGCAAAACAAUGAGAGAAGUCAUAUUCAGUUACAAUUUUCGUAGGCCCUUCUAUUGUUCACCAAACCCCUGAGUCCCCCUCAAUACCACUGGAGUUGCCAGAUAGUCACUUGUCAGGUUUAAUUUGUGUCAAAGCUCCUGAAAACAAAGACUGCUUCUUUGACCUUGGAGGGUAGGACCCAACAAAUAGGUCUUCUUUGAUAUUAAUGAUUCAUUUGAUCUGUCUUUGCAGCUGUCUCUAACGUUUCUGGUAUUUAGGAAUGAAUGUUAACUUUCUCAACAAAUAUUUACCAGUUAAGUGCUAACUUUGCACUUGAACUGCAUGCUGAGAUGAAAAUGGAGAAAAUGCUCUAUUAAAAUUGCUAGGACCAAAAAGCAUAGUUGCACCUUAAAACAGUAUAAAUUGAAGAGCUAAAUUAUGGUAUAGUGGGAUAGAAAGGAAUGGGAAGGCUCUAAAAAGGUAGCUGAACUUAGGCUUUGCAGGGUAUAUGGUGGGAGCCCCUGAAACAGCCCAGCUGCCAAAGUGCUUUCACUGUAAUAACGGGACUGUUGGGUAUGGGGUUGGUGGUAUGGGGACGUGAAAGAUCUAAGUUCCCUAGUUGAAACAGGUACCCUGGUGUAAUGGGAGAGAAAAGAGUACAAGGUGGAUGAGGCCUGAUCAUGGAGGACCCAACAAAAUUACCUUGUGCCCAUUUCCAGUCAGCCCCUUCUGUAAGAGGCAACCACUUUUCAGGUAUCCCCCACCAUAGACUGCUUCCUCUUGCUGUUGAAUUUCAUAUAAAUGGAAUUAUGUAGUACAGACCAUUUCAUGUUUGGUUUCUUUCACCCAACAUUGGUUUUGAAAUUCAUAUUUUUGCAUGUAUUUAAAAUUCCUUUUGGGGGCACCCGCAUGUCUCAAUCCACUAAGCAGAUGACUCUUGAUCUCUGCUCUGGUCUUGAUCUCAGGGUCUUAAGUUCAAGCCUGGCGUUGGGCUCCACAUGGGGUGUGGAGCCUACUUUAAAAUAAUUCCUUUUUAUUGUUGAAUCCCACUCUGUUGAAUGAAUUAACCACAUUUCUCUCUUCUCCAGGUUUUGUCUACCAUGAAUAAAAGUGCUAUGAACAAUUUUGUAGACAUAUUUGCAUGGAUAUAUGCUUUAAUUUCUCUUGGGUAAAUAGGAGUUGAACUUAGUAUAACUUAGGUUAUAGGGUAGACGUCUGAUUAACUUCAUUCCAUUCUGCUAGUUUUCCCAAAUGGUUCUCCCAUUUUGCAUCCCCACCAGCAAUGGAUGAGAAUGUGUUACUCAAUAUCCUUGCUAACAUUUGGUAUUGUUUCUCUUUUUAAUUUGAUCUAUUUUGGGUAUUCUUGUGAUUAUGAAGUACUAUCACAUUGUGGUUUAAUCAGUAUUUUCCUGAUAUCUGAUGAUGAGUACCUUUUCAUGUAUAGUGACCAUUUCUGUACUUUGAUGGGUAUUGGUUCAAAUCUCUUGCCCAUUAAAAAAAAUAAAUAAAAGGUGUCUUUUGUAUUAUUGAGUUGUUAGAGUU